rnacentral:rRNA from 1 species
AAAUUGAAGAGUUUGAUCAUGGCUCAGAUUGAACGCUGGCGGCAGGCCUAACACAUGCAAGUCGAACGGUAACAGGAAGCAGCUUGCUGCUUCGCUGACGAGUGGCGGACGGGUGAGUAAUGUCUGGGAAACUGCCUGAUGGAGGGGGAUAACUACUGGAAACGGUAGCUAAUACCGCAUAAUGUCGCAAGACCAAAGAGGGGGACCUUCGGGCCUCUUGCCAUCGGAUGUGCCCAGAUGGGAUUAGCUUGUUGGUGGGGUAACGGCUCACCAAGGCGACGAUCCCUAGCUGGUCUGAGAGGAUGACCAGCCACACUGGAACUGAGACACGGUCCAGACUCCUACGGGAGGCAGCAGUGGGGAAUAUUGCACAAUGGGCGCAAGCCUGAUGCAGC